UACGUAGGUGGCAAGCGUUGUCCGGAAUUAUUGGGCGUAAAGCGCGCGCAGGCGGUCCUUUAAGUCUGAUGUGAAAGCCCUCGGCUCAACCGAGGAGGGUCAUUGGAAACUGGAGGACUUGAGUGCAGAAGAGGAAAGUGGAAUUCCAAGUGUAGCGGUGAAAUGCGUAGAGAUUUGGAGGAACACCAGUGGCGAAGGCGACUUUCUGGUCUGUAACUGACGCUGAGACGCGAAAGCGUGGGGAGCAAACAGG
rnacentral:rRNA from 1 species